UUGGAUUCCCUUGAUGUCAGUCAACAGCAGCUUCGCCACCACCACCUCUCCUGAUUCUCUUCUCUGCUGCACUUGGCGACCAUAUCGGCCGUCAGGGAAAGAAAUGCCAACGGGAUGAGGGGAUCGUAGGCCAUGUAAAUACAAAAUAUAAAAUGUUUACGAGUUAAUCGACACAUUGACGUGCAGUUUGCUUUUCGAUUAUCGCAGUUAUGGUUCCAAUCGAAUCCCGUCCGUGUGUUUUAUCCACCACCGUCUCUAGCCUCGGGAAAAUGUACCCGACUAUUCUUGUUAGCAUUUUUUUCGCAAACAAAAGAAGACACCCGAAAAAACAAUAAAAGAGCUCGACAGAAGGAUCGAUCCAGGUGCCCCCACCUCAUGGAAAAGGUUGGGAAGGUGUGGAGCAACCUUAAGAAGGGAUGUCAAUCUCUGCUCCACACAGAUGGGGGUUCUCGAAUUGAAAUGCCACCACAGCUUCAACUGCAAACAGACACAGUAUGCCAGAGUGUGGACAAGGCCCAGGGAGACAACACACUGGAGGCUGCUAGUCCUUCUAGCAGUGUGGCGGCACUCCCUCUAGUGGUAUGGAGGACCGGUGGGAGUGUGACACGACAGGGCCAUAACUGUGUAGUGGAUGUACCCCAGAUACUAGAGAUCACAGUCGAGCAGGAUACCGAAGAUGCUCGUGCUCCCUUGGGAGCCCGCAGAGACUCUUACUCACGUCAUGCACCUUGGAGUGGAAAGAAGAGACACUCAUGUUCCACUAAGGCUCAGAGUUCUCUGGAGACCACAGAUCGGCGAUCAGGCUGGUCUCGGCGCAGACGUGGGACUGGUAGCAGCUGUGAGGAGCUGGAGUCAGGGGCAGCACGCUCCCUACGGCAGCAGAUUCAUGAUACAGUGGGCCUGUGCCUCCCACUGCGCUCAUCCUCUCGGAACAGUCACCUUCCACCACCCAAACGUAAGAUACAAAUCACAGAACUGAUGCUGGAGACGUGCCCCUUCGCACCAGGAUCAGACCUUGCUCGAAAAUGGCACCUCAUUAAACAGCACACAGCACCAGUCACAGUGACACCAGUAGAUUCAUCCUCAGAUGCUUGCGGUGCUACCUGUGCAUUGCCGGAAGAUGAGGAGGAGCGCUUGAGAGAGAGAAGACGACUCAGCAUCGAGGAGGGUGUUGACCCACCUCCAGAUGCCCAAAUCCACACAGUGGAGGCUAUCACAGCCCCUCUGGCUUCCCUUUAUAAACUGGGACCUAAGUUGGCCCCUGGAAUGGGUGAGGCCCUAGGCGAUAGCCGGGGGGCAACAGCAGCUAACUGUGACUCUGAGGACGAUGAUACCACCACUCUUUGCUUGCAAGCUCGCAGGCCCAAGCAGCGACACGCUUCGGCGGAGGGCCUCCUGAGCAGCAAGCAACAGGGGCCUUGGAAGGUACACACUCAGAUUGACUACAUCCACUGCUUGGUUCCAGAUCUGCUACAGAUCACAGCACUUCCCUGCUACUGGGGUGUGAUGGACCGUUAUGAGGCUGAAGCCCUGCUGGAUGGUCGGCCCGAGGGAACCUUUCUCCUGCGAGACUCGGCUCAAGAAGACUACCUGUUUUCCGUUAGCUUCCGUCGCUAUGGCCGUUCGCUGCACGCACGCAUUGAGCAGUGGAAUCACAACUUCAGCUUUGAUGCACACGACCCUUGCGUGUUCCAUGCAGCCACCGUCACGGCACUCUUGGAACACUAUAAGGACCCUAGCGCUUGCAUGUUCUUUGAGCCAUUGCUCACUGUGCCUCUGCACCGGACCUUCCCAUUUGGCCUGCAAAGCCUGGCUCGAUCAGCCAUUUGCAAUGGGAUCACCUACGAUGGCAUCGGGGCACUGCCAAUGCCCCCUGCUCUGCGGGACUACCUCAGGGAGUAUCACUAUAAGCAGAGGGUGCGCGUACGCUGGCUUGAGAGGGAGCCAGUCAAGGCCAAGUGAGGUGGGGCAGAUACUUCUCAGCUCUCCAACAGGAGUAGUCCAUUAAGCACUUUGCAGAGGUGGAGGAAUUCGUUUUUUUUUUUUUUGUGUGUGGAGGGGAAAGGGUUAAAAGGAGGGACCUGAAACUGAACACUAUAAAAGCUUCUAUCAUUUUUUGCUAUCACUCUAACAAACAAAGAAUUUACAUAUACAGUGGCUCUCCAGUGUGCACAUUUCACUACAGCUUCUGGACUAGGAAGAAGCAGCAGAGGGCUUAGUCUCCUUUUUCCUUCUCCCUCAGUUCCCAUGGCUGUGGGGGAAUCUGCAGAUACAGAUAUUUUCACGCCCCUCCACUCACUGCUUGACUAUGUGGUUUAUAGCCAUUUCACUUUAUUUAUGUUGUACCAUUCACCUGUUUUUAAUUCCCUUGCAUUAAAUAUGCAUUGUUAAUGUUUAUUCAAAGUAACAUUGCGGACAAAUUUUGAGGGGAGGGGAAAUGAAGGGUGAUGUUCAAAUGUUGCUUUCCCAGCUUCUUUCAUCAUCCUUAGCUUUCAUGGUGCUCUGUCAGUGUUUCCUAUGGUAACAUUCUGCGCUCAUUCCGUUGUUAAAGGGGGAAGUGUUCUAGAGCAGGACACAGAAAGGCUUUCACCCUGCUCAUUGAGAACGAGACGGAGAAAUCCAUGAAAGAUAGAUUGACCUUAAACUAUGUGUCCAGACAGCUUUUGGGAAUGCGUUGCAGUGGAGAGAAGGGUUCUGUGGCGUUCUGCUUCCGGGAAGCGAUAAGGAUGAUAUGCACAACGUGACGCGGUGUGAUGUGAGAGCGCUUGGUUUUCAAAAAACAUAGUUACUCACACUCUGCGUUCUGUUGCUGUUAGAAUGUUUUGUAAUCAUUAAUUCCUACCACUAAUUGCACAGGGAGGGGGGGGCGGGGGUGUGACUAAUUCUGUAUCGUCUUUUUUUGUAUUGUUUUGAAUGGUCUAUCAGUGCCGUGGAAGUUGGGCGCUGGUUGAGAGCACUUUAACUUAACUGUGCUUAUGUUAAUGGGUGAAGCAGAGGCAAUACAUAAACCUGCUACACUGGGACCAUUGUUUUUAGGCAUAAACACCCUCCUAUAUAGGAAUAAACACUCUGCGUUCACUUUGUCUAGCCCAUAUUGUUCUAGAGAGGACAGAGUACGUUUUGAGGUGACCCCAUCAGUGCCAUUGGAUUUGGGUCAAGCUGGCUUGUUUAGCUUGAUUUUGGGAUGAUUUAAUAAUUGAUUAAAGGGAUAGUUCACCCAAAAAUGAAAAUUCUGUCAUUGAUUACUCACCCUUAUGUCGUUCCA